AGAGUUUGAUCCUGGCUCAGAACGAACGCUGGCGGCGUGGCUAAGACAUGCAAGUCGAACGGGUCUGUUAAUUUAUUAGCAGAUCAGUGGCGAAAGGGUGAGUAAUGGAUAGGUAACGUGCCCCGUACUCUGGGAUAGCCAUCCGAAAGGGUGGGUAAUACCGGAUGAUAUCACCGAUUGAUGGAUUGGUGAUCAAAGAUUUAUCGGCGCGGGAGCGGCCUAUCUCCUAUCAGCUAGUUGGUGAGGUAACGGCCCACCAAGGCGAAGACGGGUAGCGGGACUGAGAGGUUGGCCCGCCACGUCGGAACUGAGAUACUGUCCGGACCCCCACGGGGGGCUGCAGUAACGGAUCUUGGGCAAUGGGCGAAAGCCUGACCCAGCGACGCCGCGUGCGGGAGGAAGUCCUUCGGGAUGUAAACCGCUGUCAGGGGUAAGAAAGUCCGUUUCGGCGGAUUGAUCUAACCCAGAGGAAGUCACGGCUAACUCUGUGCCAGCAGCCGCGGUAAGACAGAGGUGGCUAGCGUUGUUCGGUAUCACUGGGCUUAAAGCGUGUGUAGGCGGAAACGUAAGCAUUUUGUGAAAUCCCUCGGCUUAACCGGGGAAUUGCUUGAUGUACUGCGUUUCUUGAGGCAGGUAGGGGUGCGAGGAACUCUUGGUGGAGCGGUGGAAUGCGUAGAUAUCAAGAGGAACGCCGGUGGUGAAGACGUCGCACUAGGCCUGUCCUGACGCUGAGACACGAAAGCGUGGGGAGCGAACGGGAUUAGAUACCCCGGUAGUCCACGCCGUAAACGAUGCCUACUAGAUUGUGGCGGUUCUGACGCCGGCACAGUCGAAGCUAAAGUGUUAAGUAGGCCGCCUGGGGAGUACGGUCGCAAGGCUAAAACUCAAAUGAAUUGACGG
rnacentral:rRNA from 1 species